CCUGGUGGCUCAAGCGGUAAAGCGUUUGCCUACAAUGCAAGAGACCAGGGUUUGAUCCCUGGGUCAGGA
rfam:TPA: Bos taurus chromosome 5, whole genome shotgun sequence.